CAUAGAGGGUGCCGUCUUGGUCAGCGAUUACCAAGAUUAUCAUACCACUAAAUUACUGGAAAGUCCUUACAUGUUAAUAUGAAGUUUUAUUCUUCAUAUUUUAAACAAAUAAGGAUAAUCAGUAGGGAGUUUAGUCUUGUAACGAAUAUUUCAGAUUAAGACCUUCAUAGACUACACGUGGUACUCCACAUUUUUCUUUAUUAUGUGGAUGAAGAUAUAGUCCAAUCCUUAGUGUAAAUUAAGA
rnacentral:ncRNA from 1 species